UACGUAGGGGGCAAGCGUUGUCCGGAUUUAUUGGGCGUAAAGAGCGUGUAGGCGGCUUUACAGGUCCGUUGUGAAAACUCGAGGCUCAACCUCGAGACGCCGGUGGAAACCGUAAAGCUAGAGUCCGGAAGAGGAGAGUGGAAUUCCUGGUGUAGCGGUGAAAUGCGCAGAUAUCAGGAGGAACACCCGUGGCGAAAGCGGCUCUCUGGGCCUGUACUGACGCUGAGGAGCGAAAGCGUGGGGAGCGAACAGG
rnacentral:rRNA from 1 species